GAAAUGCGAUAAGUAGUGUGAAUUGCAGAAUUCAGUGAAUCAUCGAAUCUUUGAACGCACAUUGCGCCCUAUGGUAUUCCGUAGGGCAUGCCUGUUCGAGCGUCAUUUACACCUUCAAGCCUUGCUUGGUGUUGGGUGACUGUGGCCCCUUUGGGGCCACUCGCCUUAAAGUCAUUGGCGGCCGGUUCGUUGGCUUUGUAGCGCAGCACAAUUGCGUCCUCGAAGCCGCUGGACCAGCUCCCAGAAGCUAAUUUUAAAUGUUUGACCUCGAAUCAGGUAGGGAUUCCCGCUGAACUUAAGC
rnacentral:misc_RNA from 1 species